ACUUGUCAUUUCAAUUACACUGAAUGACUUCUGGUCCACCAUCUGGUGGCUCAAGAGGGGGAAGCAGUGCACCAUCAACAUUGUGUACAGUGGAGAUGGGGUGCUGCUGACCUCAACUCAG